UGCCCAGGUGGUGGAAUUGGUAGACACAAGGGACUUAAAAUCCCUCGGUAGCAAUACCGUGCCGGUUCAAGUCCGGCUUUGGGCACCA
rnacentral:tRNA from 2 species